rnacentral:tRNA from 1 species
GUCAUUCUAUCCCAGCUGAUAGAGCAUAUGGCUUUUAACUAUGUGGUCUUGGGUUCGAUUCCCACAAAUGGCU